rnacentral:rRNA from 1 species
AUUGAACGCUGGCGGCAUGCCUUACACAUGCAAGUCGAACGGUAACAGGUUAAGCUGACGAGUGGCGAACGGGUGAGUAAUAUAUCGGAACGUGCCCAGUCGUGGGGGAUAACGUAGCGAAAGCUACGCUAAUACCGCAUACGAUCUACGGAUGAAAGCGGGGGAUCGCAAGACCUCGCGCGAUUGGAGCGGCCGAUAUCAGAUUAGGUAGUGGGUGGGGUAAAGGCCCACAAAGCCAACGAUCUUUAGCUGGUCUGAGAGGACGACCAGCCACACUGGACCUGAGACACGGUCCAGACUCCUACGGGAGGCAGCAGUGGGGAAUUUUGGACAAUGGGCGAAAGCCUGAUCCAGCCAUUCCGCGUGCAGGAUGAAGGCCCUCGGGUUGUAAACUGCUUUUGUACAUAACGAAAAGGUUUCUACUAAUACUAGGAGCUCAUGACGGUACUGUAAGAAUAAGCACCGGCUAACUACGUGCCAGCCGCCGCCGUAA